rnacentral:rRNA from 1 species
UGGGGAAUUUUGGACAAUGGGCGCAAGCCUGAUCCAGCCAUGCCGCGUGCGGGAAGAAGGCCUUCGGGUUGUAAACCGCUUUUGUCAGGGAAGAAAUCUUCUGAGUUAAUACCUCGGGAGGAUGACGGUACCUGAAGAAUAAGCACCGGCUAACUACGUGCCAGCAGCCGCGGUAAUACGUAGGGUGCAAGCGUUAAUCGGAAUUACUGGGCGUAAAGCGUGCGCAGGCGGUUUUGUAAGACAGAGGUGAAAUCCCCGGGCUCAACCUGGGAACUGCCUUUGUGACUGCAAGGCUUGAGUGCGGCAGAGGGGGAUGGAAUUCCGCGUGUAGCAGUGAAAUGCGUAGAGAUGUGGAGGAAAUACCGAUGGCGAAGGCAGCCCCCUGGGCCAAUACUGACGCUCAUGCACGAAAGCGUGGGGAGCAAAACAGGAUUAGAUACCCUGGUAGUCCACGCCCUAAAACGAUGUCAACUAGUUGUUGGGGGAUUCAUUUCCUUAGUAACGUAGCUAACGCGUGAAGUUGACCGCCUGGGGGAGUACGGUCGCAAGAUUAAAAACUCAAAUGAAUUGACGGGGUCAUAGCUGUUUCCU